GAUAAACGCUGGCGGCGUGCCUAAUACAUGCAAGUCGAGCGAACGGACGAGAAGCUUGCUUCUCUGACGUUAGCGGCGGACGGGUGAGUAACACGUGGAUAACCUACCUAUAAGACUGGGAUAACUUCGGGAAACCGGAGCUAAUACCGGAUAAUAUUUUGAACCGCAUGGUUCAAAAGUGAAAGACGGUCUUGCUGUCACUUAUAGAUGGAUCCGCGCUGCAUUAGCUAGUUGGUAAGGUAACGGCUUACCAAGGCAACGAUGCAUAGCCGACCUGAGAGGGUGAUCGGCCACACUGGAACUGAGACACGGUCCAGACUCCUACGGGAGGCAGCAGUAGGGAAUCUUCCGCAAUGGGCGAAAGCCUGACGGAGCAACGCCGCGUGAGUGAUGAAGGUCUUCGGAUCGUAAAACUCUGUUAUUAGGGAAGAACAUAUGUGUAAGUAACUGUGCACAUCUUGACGGUACCUAAUCAGAAAGCCACGGCUAACUACGUGCCAGCAGCCGCGGUAAUACGUAGGUGGCAAGCGUUAUCCGGAAUUAUUGGGCGUAAAGCGCGCGUAGGCGGUUUUUUAAGUCUGAUGUGAAAGCCCACGGCUCAACCGUGGAGGGUCAUUGGAAACUGGAAAACUUGAGUGCAGAAGAGGAAAGUGGAAUUCCAUGUGUAGCGGUGAAAUGCGCAGAGAUAUGGAGGAACACCAGUGGCGAAGGCGACUUUCUGGUCUGUAACUGACGCUGAUGUGCGAAAGCGUGGGGAUCAAACAGGAUUAGAUACCCUGGUAGUCCACGCCGUAAACGAUGAGUGCUAAGUGUUAGGGGGUUUCCGCCCCUUAGUGCUGCAGCUAACGCAUUAAGCACUCCGCCUGGGGAGUACGACCGCAAGGUUGAAACUCAAAGGAAUUGACGGGGACCCGCACAAGCGGUGGAGCAUGUGGUUUAAUUCGAAGCAACGCGAAGAACCUUACCAAAUCUUGACAUCCUUUGACAACUCUAGAGAUAGAGCCUUCCCCUUCGGGGGACAAAGUGACAGGUGGUGCAUGGUUGUCGUCAGCUCGUGUCGUGAGAUGUUGGGUUAAGUCCCGCAACGAGCGCAACCCUUAAGCUUAGUUGCCAUCAUUAAGUUGGGCACUCUAAGUUGACUGCCGGUGACAAACCGGAGGAAGGUGGGGAUGACGUCAAAUCAUCAUGCCCCUUAUGAUUUGGGCUACACACGUGCUACAAUGGACAAUACAAAGGGCAGCGAAACCGCGAGGUCAAGCAAAUCCCAUAAAGUUGUUCUCAGUUCGGAUUGUAGUCUGCAACUCGACUACAUGAAGCUGGAAUCGCUAGUAAUCGUAGAUCAGCAUGCUACGGUGAAUACGUUCCCGGGUCU
rnacentral:rRNA from 1 species